GACGAACGCUGGCGGCGUGCUUAACACAUGCAAGUCGAACGGAAAGGCCCUGCUUUUGUGGGGUGCUCGAGUGGCGAACGGGUGAGUAACACGUGAGUAACCUGCCCUUGACUUUGGGAUAACUUCAGGAAACUGGGGCUAAUACCGUAUAGGAGCUCCUGCUGCAUGGUGGGGGUUGGAACGUUUCGGCGGUUGGGGAUGGACUCGCGGCUUAUCAGCUUGUUGGUGGGGUAGUGGCUUACCAAGGCUUUGACGGGUAGCCGGCCUGAGAGGGUGACCGGCCACAUUGGGACUGAGAUACGGCCCAGACUCCUACGGGAGGCAGCAGGGGGGAAUAUUGCACAAUGGGCGGAAGCCUGAUGCAGCAACGCCGCGUGCGGGAUGACGGCCUUCGGGUUGUAAACCGCUUUCGCCUGUGACGAAGCGUGAGUGACGGUAAUGGGUAAAGAAGCACCGGCUAACUACGUG
rnacentral:rRNA from 1 species